rnacentral:rRNA from 1 species
AGAGUUUGAUCCUGGCUCAGAUUGAACGCUGGCGGCAUGCCUUACACAUGCAAGUCGAACGGCAGCACGGGGGCAACCCUGGUGGCGAGUGGCGAACGGGUGAGUAAUACAUCGGAACGUGUCCUGUAGUGGGGGAUAGCCCGGCGAAAGCCGGAUUAAUACCGCAUACGAUCUACGGAAGAAAGCGGGGGAUCGCAAGACCUCGCGCUAUAGGGGCGGCCGAUGGCAGAUUAGCUAGUUGGUGGGGUAAAGGCCUACCAAGGCGACGAUCUGUAGCUGGUCUGAGAGGACGACCAGCCACACUGGGACUGAGACACGGCCCAGACUCCUACGGGAGGCAGCAGUGGGGAAUUUUGGACAAUGGGGGAAACCCUGAUCCAGCAAUGCCGCGUGUGUGAAGAAGGCCUCCGGGUUGUAAAGCACUUUUGUCCGGAAAGAAAACUUCUUGCCCUAAUACGGUGGGAGGAUGACGGUACCGG